ACCGAGGUGUAUUCAUGAAAUUCAUAUUUGGUAUGGGAGGGAGGAGAGAGAAGAGAUGAAGAGAGAAGAUAAGAAAGGAAGAGCGGACACGUGUACAGAACGAAUUGUCAAUUAAUUUAUUUGUAUAGAUUGGAGGGAGGAGAUAGAAGAGAUGAAGAUUUGGUACCUUUUCAAGAUGGAUUUGGAAAGAUUUGGUAUCCUUCUGAGGUGUAAUCAUGAAAUUCAUAUUUGGUAUAGGAGGGAGGAGACAGAAGAGAUGAAGAGAGAAGAGGAUAAAAGAAUAACAGACAUGUGUAUAGAAGGAACUGUCCAUUAAUUUAUUUGUAUAAAUCUUUUCGAGAUGGAUUUGGAAAU
rnacentral:lncRNA from 1 species